rnacentral:rRNA from 1 species
AAAUUGAAGAGUUUGAUCAUGGCUCAGAUUGAACGCUGGCGGCAGGCCUAACACAUGCAAGUCGAGCGGAAACGAGUUAUCUGAACCUUCGGGGAACGAUAACGGCGUCGAGCGGCGGACGGGUGAGUAAUGCCUAGGAAAUUGCCCUGAUGUGGGGGAUAACCAUUGGAAACGAUGGCUAAUACCGCAUAAUGCCUACGGGCCAAAGAGGGGGACCUUCGGGCCUCUCGCGUCAGGAUAUGCCUAGGUGGGAUUAGCUAGUUGGUGAGGUAAGGGCUCACCAAGGCGACGAUCCCUAGCUGGUCUGAGAGGAUGAUCAGCCACACUGGAACUGAGACACGGUCCAGACUCCUACGGGAGGCAGCAGUGGGGAAUAUUGCACAAUGGGCGCAAGCCUGAUGCAGCCAUGCCGCGUGUGUGAAGAAGGCCUUCGGGUUGUAAAGCACUUUCAGUCGUGAGGAAGGUAGUGUAGUUAAUAGCUGCAUUAUUUGACGUUAGCGACAGAAGAAGCACCGGCUAACUCCGUGCCAGCAGCCGCGGUAAUACGGAGGGUGCGAGCGUUAAUCGGAAUUACUGGGCGUAAAGCGCAUGCAGGUGGUUUGUUAAGUCAGAUGUGAAAGCCCGGGGCUCAACCUCGGAAUAGCAUUUGAAACUGGCAGACUAGAGUACUGUAGAGGGGGGUAGAAUUUCAGGUGUAGCGGUGAAAUGCGUAGAGAUCUGAAGGAAUACCGGUGGCGAAGGCGGCCCCCUGGACAGAUACUGACACUCAGAUGCGAAAGCGUGGGGAGCAAACAGGAUUAGAUACCCUGGUAGUCCACGCCGUAAACGAUGUCUACUUGGAGGUUGUGGCCUUGAGCCGUGGCUUUCGGAGCUAACGCGUUAAGUAGACCGCCUGGGGAGUACGGUCGCAAGAUUAAAACUCAAAUGAAUUGACGGGGGCCCGCACAAGCGGUGGAGCAUGUGGUUUAAUUCGAUGCAACGCGAAGAACCUUACCUACUCUUGACAUCCAGAGAACUUUCCAGAGAUGGAUUGGUGCCUUCGGGAACUCUGAGACAGGUGCUGCAUGGCUGUCGUCAGCUCGUGUUGUGAAAUGUUGGGUUAAGUCCCGCAACGAGCGCAACCCUUAUCCUUGUUUGCCAGCGAGUAAUGUCGGGAACUCCAGGGAGACUGCCGGUGAUAAACCGGAGGAAGGUGGGGACGACGUCAAGUCAUCAUGGCCCUUACGAGUAGGGCUACACACGUGCUACAAUGGCGCAUACAGAGGGCAGCCAACUUGCGAAAGUGAGCGAAUCCCAAAAAGUGCGUCGUAGUCCGGAUUGGAGUCUGCAACUCGACUCCAUGAAGUCGGAAUCGCUAGUAAUCGUGGAUCAGAAUGCCACGGUGAAUACGUUCCCGGGCCUUGUACACACCGCCCGUCACACCAUGGGAGUGGGCUGCAAAAGAAGUAGGUAGUUUAACCUUCGGGGGGACGCUUACCACUUUGUGGUUCAUGACUGGGGUGAAGUCGUAACAAGGUAGCGCUAGGGGAACCUGGCGCUGGAUCACCUCCUUAUACGAUGAU